GUCUCAGGAUUCUCAAUGUUUGACAACGCACAAAAAGAGGAGGAGAGAAGGAUUUCAUGGUGUCAUCAUGGCAUAGCUACAUCAGAGUUGUUUUACUAUUCUCCCAUUGGUCUCACAGUAGCAGACAUGGGACCCUGGCUGAGUAAUUUACUGAUUCUUGCUGCAUGCUGUUAUGAAUGCAGAGGAGAAGACUCAGUCAUUCAGCCACCAGGAGAUGUGAUCACUACAGAGGGAGAACAGGUCACACUGGACUGUCAAUUUGAUGCAGUUAAUAUGAAGGGUCUCUACCUGUUCUGGUACAAGCAUGAAGUAAACGGCUUCCCAGAGUUCAUGCUGGGACGUUUUCCUUUUGGAAGUAAAAAUGCAACUGAGUUCAAGGAUAGAUUUGACGCCCAUCUCGAUGCAGACUCCAAGUCAGUCCCCUUGACGAUCCAGAGGUUGCAGCUCUCUGACUCUGCUGUGUACUACUGUGCUCUGAGGCCCACUGUGACAACAGGAUAUACAGCCUCAUUACAAAAACUAUUUGAUAGUGUGAUGUAAGACUCUUAGAGAGCC